rnacentral:rRNA from 1 species
GAUGGACGCUGGCGGCAUGCCUAAUACAUGCAAGUCGAACGAGAGGAAGGAAAGCUUGCUUUUCUGAAUCUAGUGGCGAACGGGUGAGUAACACGUAGGUAACCUGCCCAUGUGCCCGGGAUAACUUCUGGAAACGGAUGCUAAAACCGGAUAGGUAGCAGACAAGCAUUUGACUGCUAUUAAAGUGGCUAAGGCCAUGAACAUGGAUGGACCUGCGGUGCAUUAGCUAGUUGGUGAGGUAACGGCCCACCAAGGCGACGAUGCAUAGCCGGCCUGAGAGGGCAGACGGCCACAUUGGGACUGAGACACGGCCCAAACUCCUACGGGAGGCAGCAGUAGGGAAUUUUCGUCAAUGGGGGGAACCCUGAACGAGCAAUGCCGCGUGAGUGAGGAAGGUCUUCGGAUCGUAAAGCUCUGUUGUAAGAGAAAAACGACAUUCAUAGGGAAUGAUGAGUGAGUGAUGGUAUCUUACCAGAAAGUCACGGCUAACUACGUGCCAGCAGCCGCGGUAA